rnacentral:lncRNA from 1 species
UCACUUGUAGCAAAAGUCAUGUUCUCCUAGCUCAAUGCACAUGCACCCACAUGGUUCCUUCUUGCUUUCCACUCCUACCCCCUCUCCUAAUCCUAGACUCUUCUCUUUCCCUUUCAUUUUUCUCUUUUCUCCUCAUUACAACACCCUGGAUUAUUCCUUCUCCCUUUCACAUUCAGUGUAUUGUGAUGUGGACCUGGGUCUUCAUACCACCACCAUUCCAGCUCAAAUAGAAGUGGCAAGAGGGUCCACUUUAGCAAGGUGGAACAAGGAGGGAUGGCAUGGUGGUUAGACAACUGGGCUUGUG